GCUUAACACAUGCAAGUCGAGGGGCAUCAGGAAGAAAGCUUGCUUUCUUUGCUGGCGACCGGCGCACGGGUGAGUAACACGUAUCCAACCUGCCCUUUACUCGGGGAUAGCCUUUCGAAAGAAAGAUUAAUACCCGAUAGCAUAAUGAUUCCGCAUGGUUUCAUUAUUAAAGGAUUCCGGUAAAGGAUGGGGAUGCGUUCCAUUAGGUUGUUGGUGAGGUAACGGCCCACCAAGCCUUCGAUGGAUAGGGGUUCUGAGAGGAAGGUCCCCCACAUUGGAACUGAGACACGGUCCAAACUCCUACGGGAGGCAGCAGUGAGGAAUAUUGGUCAAUGGGCGCUAGCCUGAACCAGCCAAGUAGCGUGAAGGAUGAAGGCUCUAUGGGUCGUAAACUUCUUUUAUAUAAGAAUAAAGUGCAGUAUGUAUACUGUUUUGUAUGUAUUAUAUGAAUAAGGAUCGGCUAACUCCGUGCCAGCAGCCGCGGUAAUACGGAGGAUCCGAGCGUUAUCCGGAUUUAUUGGGUUUAAAGGGAGCGUAGGUGGACUGGUAAGUCAGUUGUGAAAGUUUGCGGCUCAACCGUAAAAUUGCAGUUGAUACUGUCAGUCUUGAGUACAGUAGAGGUGGGCGGAAUUCGUGGUGUAGCGGUGAAAUGCUUAGAUAUCACGAAGAACUCCGAUUGCGAAGGCAGCUCACUGGACUGCAACUGACACUGAUGCUCGAAAGUGUGGGUAUCAAACAGGAUUAGAUACCCUGGUAGUCCACACAGUAAACGAUGAAUACUCGCUGUUUGCGAUAUACAGUAAGCGGCCAAGCGAAAGCAUUAAGUAUUCCACCUGGGGAGUACGCCGGCAACGGUGAAACUCAAAGGAAUUGACGGGGGCCCGCACAAGCGGAGGAACAUGUGGUUUAAUUCGAUGAUACGCGAGGAACCUUACCCGGGCUUAAAUUGCAGUGGAAUGAUGUGGAAACAUGUCAGUGAGCAAUCACCGCUGUGAAGGUGCUGCAUGGUUGUCGUCAGCUCGUGCCGUGAGGUGUCGGCUUAAGUGCCAUAACGAGCGCAACCCUUAUCUUUAGUUACUAACAGGUUAUGCUGAGGACUCUAGAGAGACUGCCGUCGCAAGAUGUGAGGAAGGUGGGGAUGACGUCAAAUCAGCACGGCCCUUACGUCCGGGGCUACACACGUGUUACAAUGGGGGGUACAGAAGGCAGCUAGCGGGUGACCGUAUGCUAAUCCCAAAAUCCUCUCUCAGUUCGGAUCGAAGUCUGCAACCCGACUUCGUGAAGCUGGAUUCGCUAGUAAUCGCGCAUCAGCCACGGCGCGGUGAAUACGUUCCCGGGCCUUGUACACACCGCCCGUCAAGCCAUGGGAGCCGGGGGUACCUGAAGUACGUAACCGCAAGGAUCGUCCUAGGGUAAAACUGGUGACUGGGGCUAAG
rnacentral:rRNA from 1 species